rnacentral:misc_RNA from 1 species
GAAAUGCGAUAAGUAAUGUGAAUUGCAGAAUUCAGUGAAUCAUCGAAUCUUUGAACGCACAUUGCGCCCGCCGGCACUCCGGCGGGCAUGCCUGUCCGAGCGUCAUUUCAACCCUCGGGACCCCGUCUAGGCGGGGUGCCGGUGUUGGGGAUCAGGGUCCUCCGGGCCCCUGCCCCCUAAAUACAGUGGCGGUCGCGCCGCAGCCUCCCCUGCGUAGUAAUGCACAUCGCACCGGAGAGCGGCACGGCCACGCCGUAAAACCCCCCAAUUUUUACAGGUUGACCUCGGAUCAGGUAGGAAUACCCGCUGAACUUAA